AUUGAACGCUGGCGGCAUGCCUUACACAUGCAAGUCGAACGGCAGCACGGGAGCAAUCCUGGUGGCGAGUGGCGAACGGGUGAGUAAAGUAUCGGAACGUGCCCAGUCGUGGGGGAUAACGUAGCUAAAGUUACGCUAAUACCGCACACGAUCUAUGGAUGAAAGCGGAGGAUCGCAAGACCUCGCGCGAUUGGAGCGGCCGAUAUCAGAUUAGGUAGUUGGGGGGGUAAAGGCUCACCAAGCCGACGAUCUGUAGCUGGUCUGAGAGGACGACCAGCCACACUGGGACUGAGAAACGGCCCAGACUCCUACGGGAGGCAGCAGUGGGGAAUUUUGGACAAUGGGCGAAAGCCUGAUCCAGCCAUGCCGCGUGCAGGAUGAAGGCCUUCGGGUUGUAAACUGCUUUUGUACGGAACGAAAAGGUUUGGCCUAAUAAGCUGAGCUCAUGACGGUACCGUAAGAAUAAGCACCGGCUAACUACGUGCCAGCCGCCGCGGUAACAC
rnacentral:rRNA from 1 species